AUGGACCCAACACCGUCAUAUCUUGAUGAAAAUCCUGCAAUGGGUCCUACAUGCUCAGAAGCCAUAGCAAACUUGGAGGCAAUCAUGAACUCAGCUCAAGACUGCUUACAAAAACUUCAAUCCGUCUGCUCUGGAACCCCAACAACUGAAGAAUCUCCUUCAAAAAAGCAGAAAUCCUCUAAUGAAAGUGCUUCAACUGAAUGUGACUCUGGUCUUGGAAGCACUGUUUCAACUUUGAAUCUGGGAGAAAAUCUCCCAGAUUCAAAUCAGGAAAUGGAAAUUUGCGAUCAGGAAGCCUCUCUUAAACCUGAAAGAAACAUACAUUCUUCCGAGGCCACUGAUAAUCUUGAACCCUCCUCCACUUCUUUUCCUCAUGAUGUACCCAUGCACUCAACAAAUAUUCAAUGGAAUAAAAGUGCUGAAAAGUUAGAUGAUCCAACCCAACUUAUUGCAUCUUCAACUCAGACACCUAUAGAAGAAGCUAUCUCAAAAUACGUAGAAAGACGUUUUGUCCUUGUGGGUUCACCAAUGGAUAGAAGUUAUGAGGUUCGACCGUACCUCAAACUGAGAAAAAACUUAGCCCAUCCACGGAAAACAUAUCUACUUCCUCAAUGUUCUCCUGGUAAAUCUCCUGGUAAAUUUUCCCCUCAAAAAAACAGUCCUUCAAGACGCACAAGUAUUUUGCAGCCGUUAUCGGCAUCACCCUCCACAGCUGAUUAUUUUGAUCGAAAACACUCUGAUUGUUCCUCGUCUCCUCGGAGGUUUGCAAGUGAUCUUCUCACUUUAUUGAAAACGCCGUUUUCAAGUGAUCUGUUCAGUAAAAAGUCUGGGCUUGUUGACAAUCUAAAAGAAAAGCAGAUAGAAGACAGCAGAGAUGCAAGUGCAUCUAAGAAAGUUAACCCGGGACCUGUUCAAUUUGAUAAAAGAAAACGGAAACGAAAAACUCCGUUUAUCUAUUUGAAGAAGUUCACCAAGCCCAAAAAAAACAGCUCAGUCGGAGAUAUGCUAAGCCCUCCUGAAGAGUACGAGGUAGAAUAUAUUGAGUCCCACAAAAUUCUCGAGAAUAACGAGUGCAUGUUUUUUGUCAAGUGGAUCGGAUGGGACGCAAGCGAUAAUACCUGGGAGCCAAUCACUAAUCUACUCAAUUGCCAAGAAAAGCUAGUCGGCUAUUUCGAACAACUGCUCAGAUCUAAUGAGCACAAACAAAUAUCGCUUCUCCGAAAAAACGCCAACCUAAGAGAAUUGAGACAAACCUUAUCCCGAACAUCCGAAGAAGAACUCAACCAAUUGCUAUCAACUUACCGCUCUUCACUGGUAUCAAAUUGCCUGUCCCAAACAGAGAUUUCAUAG
rnacentral:lncRNA from 1 species